CUGGUCUGCAGCAACAAGAAGCUCCGCCCCCUUCCUCUCACCUGGAGACAGGAAAUCUUUUUUAAGAUUAAUAUUAAUAAUUAAUUAAUAAUAAUUGUUGAAUCAAAGUUCAUCAGACUAUUCCGUUGAGUGAGUGUCCUUUUGUUUAAGAAUGUAUAAUAAUAGAACCUGCCAUGAGCCAAAGACUCACCUGUGUGUCUGUAUCUCAACCUGUCCGUCUCCAUCACAGUCUUCAGUCUCUCUGCAGUCUCCUGCAGUAGCUCCUCUGGACUACACUUCCCACAACCCUCUCCUUCAGACAGACAAGGGACCUCUUCCUGUGCCCCCCCCUGUUGUCCUGUUGGACAGAACAGCCAGUCACCUGCAGGAUCCUCUUCAUAAUAGAUGUCCUGGGACACAGGUGUCUCUGGUUGUCCCUCACAGGUGGCAUGAAUCAAUCAAUCAAUCAGGAGCCUUUUUAAACAUCAAGCAGAGGACGGUCUUGCAAACUGGCCUCAGGUUUGGAUCCGUGCUGUUCACCCUCGUGAGGCCAGGCGCCCACAAUGCAUCAUAGCACCUGUCCUCCAGGAUGCCGUGCUCUGAUUGGACGUUGAGCCUUAAGACCUGCAACUGUUGCUCCAUCAGCCUGAAGACAGAUGAAGAAGAAGGAUGAAGAGUUCCUGACCUCCUUCAGCAGAACUGAUGCCUUCAGCUGAUGAUCAACAACAACAACACACAAUAGUUAUCUGUGGUACCAAGCUUUGCUCUAGCUUUUGUUAAAUAGAUGAAUUCCCACAGUGAGGUCAUCAGAGGUCACCUGCUGCGGGGGCGUGUCGCUGUGGGUCUGCAGAGCUUUAGAUGAACAUGAAGGAGGUUGAUCAAUAGCUCCAUCUUGGUCAAAGGAGCAAGUGUGACUGACAGCUGAGGGAGUCAGUCUUGUUGAGGCACGAGAGGCGGGCCGAGCUCUGAGAAACAGAAAGUCAUUAAACGGGUCUGAACAGCGACGACUUGAAUUCACACCUAUCCCACCUAUCCAGAGCCUCCCCUGGCUCCACCCUUAUCAGGCCCCUCCCACUGAGGGCCUGUCCUUGAGUGUAUCGCCGUGGUGACAAGGCAUGACGAGCGCUGCUCACUAACGAGGACAGAGACUCUCUCCAGGUAGGCUAAAGAGGACAGAAGAUCAAAAGCAGAACUUCACGUGUGUGUGUGUGCGUGCGUGCGUGCGUGCGUGCGUGCGUGUAUAAACGAACGAUUGUAUUCCCCCUCUAUGCUUCCUUUAGAGGGUCAGAGGAUGUUGAAUGUUUACAGACUAAAGCCCUCUGAGGCAAAUUUGUCAUUUGUGAUUAUACAAAAUAAACAAAAUGCAAUUUGA